rnacentral:misc_RNA from 1 species
CAGCCGCGUAAUUCCAGCUCCAAUAGCGUAUAUUAAAGUUGUUGCAGUUAAAAAGCUCGUAGUUGAAUUUCGGGAUUAAUAUGCUGGUCGUGCCAUUGGUACGUACUAGUAUUAUUGAUUUCUCCCUUCUGAUGAAUCAUGAUGUCAUUAAUUUGAUGUCAUGGGGAAUCAGGACUGUUACUUUGAAAAAAUUAGAGUGUUUAAAGCAGGCUCGCGCUUGAAUACAUUAGCAUGGAAUAAUGAAAUAGGACGUUUGAUUCUAUUUUGUUGGUUUCUAGGAUCGACGUAAUGAUUAAUAGGGAUAGUUGGGGGCAUUAGUAUUCAAUUGUCAGAGGUGAAAGUCUUGGAUUUAUUGAAGACUAACUACUGCGAAAGCAUUUGCCAAGGAUGUUUUCAUUAAUCAAGAACGAAAGUUAGGGGAUCGAAGACGAUCAGAUACCGUCGUAGUCUUAACCAUAAACUAUGCCGACUAGGGAUCGGAUGAUGUUAAUUUUUUAAUGACUCAUUCGGCGCCUUACG